rnacentral:rRNA from 1 species
GAUGAACGCUGGCGGCGUGCCUAAUACAUGCAAGUCGAGCGAACGGACGAGAAGCUUGCUUCUCUGAUGUUAGCGGCGGACGGGUGAGUAACACGUGGAUAACCUACCUAUAAGACUGGGAUAACUUCGUGAAACCGGAGCUAAUACCGGAUAAUAUUUUGAACCGCAUGGUUCAAAAGUGAAAGACGGUCUUGCUGCCACUUAUAGAUGGAUCCGCGCUGCAUUAGCUAGUUGGUAAGGUAACGGCUUACCAAGGCAACGAUGCAUAGCCGACCUGAGAGGGUGAUCGGCCACACUGGAACUGAGACACGGUCCAGACUCCUACGGGAGGCAGCAGUAGGGAAUCUUCCGCAAUGGGCGAAAGCCUGACGGAGCAACGCCGCGUGAGUGAUGAAGGUCUUCGGAUCGUAAAACUCUGUUAUUAGGGAAGAACAUAUGUGUAAGUAACUGUGCACAUCUUGACGGUACCUAAUCAGAAAGCCACGGCUAACUACGUG